rnacentral:rRNA from 1 species
AUUGAACGCUGGCGGCAGGCCUAACACAUGCAAGUCGAACGGUAACAGGAAGAAGCUUGCUUCUUUGCUGACGAGUGGCGGACGGGUGAGUAAUGUCUGGGAAACUUCCUGAUGGAGGGGGAUAACUACUGGAAACGGUAGCUAAUACCGCAUAACGUCGCAAGACCAAAGAGGGGACCUUCGGGCCUCUUGCCAUCGGAUUUGCCCAGAUGGGAUUAGCUAGUAGGUGGGGUAACGGCUCACCUAGGCGACGAUCCCUAGCUGGUCUGAGAGGAUGACCAGCCACACUGGAACUGAGACACGGUCCAGACUCCUACGGGAGGCAGCAGUGGGGAAUAUUGCACAAUGGGCGCAAGCCUGAUGCAGCCAUGCCGCGUGUAUGAAGAAGGCCUUCGGGUUGUAAAGUACUUUCAGCGGGGAGGAAGGGAGUAAAGUUAAUACCUUUGCUCAUUGACGUUACCCGCAGAAGAAGCACCGGCUAACUCCGUG